rnacentral:rRNA from 1 species
UGGGGAAUAUUGGACAAUGGGCGAAAGCCUGAUCCAGCCAUGCCGCGUGUGUGAAGAAGGUCUUCGGAUUGUAAAGCACUUUAAGCUGGGAGGAAGGGCAGUAAGCGAAUACCUUGCUGUUUUGACGUUACCGACAGAAUAAGCACCGGCUAACUCUGUGCCAGCAGCCGCGGUAAUACAGAGGGUGCAAGCGUUAAUCGGAAUUACUGGGCGUAAAGCGCGCGUAGGUGGUUCGUUAAGUUGAAUGUGAAAGCCCCGGGCUCAACCUGGGAACUGCAUCCAAAACUGGCGGGCUUGAGUAGGGCAGAGGGUGGUGGAAUUUCCUGUGUAGCGGUGAAAUGCGUAGAUAAAGGAAGGAACACCAGUGGCGAAGGCGACCACCUGGGCUCAUACUGACACUGAGGUGCGAAAGCGUGGGGAGCAAACAGG